UGAAUACGAGACGCUAAGGCGUUGAAGUAGUGUAUGUCAUACUUCCAAGAAAAGCUUGCACUGUCAUAGAUAAAAAACGCCUGUACCAUAACCGACACAAGUGGGUAGGUAGAGUAUACUAAGGGGCGCGAGAUAACUCUCUCUAAGGAACUCGGCAAAAUAACUCCGUAACUUCGGGAGAAGGAGUGCCUUAUUCGUAAGGUUGCAAUAACAAGAUCCAAGCAACUGUUUAUCAAAAACACAGGUCUCCGCUAAGUCGUAAGACGAUGUAUGGGGGCUGACGCCUGCCCAGUGCCAGAAGGUUAAAGAAGUUGGUUAGCAAUUGCGAAGCUGAUAACUGAAGCCCUGGUGAACGGCGGCCGUAACUAUAACGGUCCUAAGGUAGCGAAAUUCCUUGUCGGGUAAGUUCCGACCCGUACGAAAGGCGUAAUGAUUUGGAUACUGUCUCGGAGAGGGGCUCGGUGAAAUAGACUUGUCUGUGAAGAUGCGGACUACCUGCACCAGGACAGAAAGACCCUAUGAAGCUUUACUGUAACUUGAAAUUGAAAUUGGACUUUAUUCGCGCAGUAUAGGUGGGAGGCGUUGAUUAUAAUCUUGUGGGAUUAUUGGAGCCAUCAGUGAGAUACCACUCUUGUAAUGUUAGAUUUCUAACUUUGAAUCAUUAUCUGGUCAAAGAACAGUUUCAGGCGGGCAGUUUGACUGGGGCGGUCGUCUCCUAAACGGUAACGGAGGCGUACAAAGGUUUCCUCUGAACGGUUAGAAAUCGUAUCUAGAGUGUAAAGGCAUAAGGAAGCUUGACUGUGAGACCUACAAGUCGAGCAGGGACGAAAGUCGGUCUUAGUGAUCUGACGGUACUGAGUGGAAAGGCCGUCACUCAACGGAUAAAAGUUACUCUAAGGAUAACAGGCUGAUCUCCCCCAAGAGUUCACAUCGACGGGGAGGUUUGGCACCUCGAUGUCGGCUCAUCGCAUCCUGGGGCGGUAGUACGUCCCAAGGGUUGGGCUGUUCGCCCAUGAAAGCGGUACGCGAGCUGGGUUCAGAACGUCGUGAGACAGUUCGGUCCAUAUCCGGUGUAGGCGUUAGAAUAUUGAGAGGAGCCUUCUUUAGUACGAGAGGACCGAGAAGGACAUACCUCUGGUGUACCAGUUAUCGUGCCAACGGUAAACGCUGGGUAGCUAUGUAUGGAGUGGAUAACCGCUGAAAGCAUCUAAGUGGGAAGCCCACCUCAAGAUAAGUAUUCUCA
rnacentral:rRNA from 1 species